rnacentral:lncRNA from 1 species
AUAGCAACAGCAGCGUAGCUGAACAUCUUACGGAUGGCCCAGGGCUCCAAAGGCUCGUUUCCUAAGUGAGAGAGAGCCUGGCUGAAGCUGUAUUACCAUUCAUUCUCCAGCCUCCGAAGUCUCAAAGCAUCACUUCCACCAUACUCUAACUGUCAAGACAAACACAAAGGCCCAGAGAAGGGGUCUCACUAUGUUGUCUGGAGUGCUGUGGUGGAGUGGAGUGGCUAUUCACAGAGCCUGUUCUGCUGGGACACAGAAUCACUUGCUCCAUCUCAUACAUUGAUGAUGAUUAAUUUGUAUGUGUACCUUCCAAAAAAGAUGGUUGUGUUUGAAUGGAGGCCUUCUGGACAGGAAAAUAUGGAGAGUGCGUGCUUUGGAUUCAAGACUGGGAAUGAGGGGACCAGAAACCUAUUCUGUGGCUGUUUCUUGUUAGGACUUUCCUAAGCCUCUGGAAAAGUGCAAAGUACAAUUAACAUUUGAGUCUGUCUGAGUCAUGAAGAAAUGGAGAUUACUGAAAAUAAUUCAUUUUGGUAUCUUCUUACAUCCUGAGAGACUAAUCUUUCCAAGUUCAUCUGAGGCUCCUCUUCUCCAUGACAACCUCAUCCAGGGAUUUCUUCCUGUCCUGGUGUUUUAUGACAUGUGGAAGGGGACUGUAGCAGGUGAUCUCCAAAGUCUCUGGAGACUUACUAAUGUGCAUCCUCAUCUCGCUUGUAAGGAUAAUAGCCUUCCUCCAAACCUCACACACUUUUGGAGGAGAUCACUUUUUUUAAAGUGCAUGGAAAUGUUUUGAAACAGUGAAAUCUAUAAUGAUAGGUUUCAUAAUUCUAACAUCCACACCAUAUGAAUCACAUCCUUCCUGAGAUAAUGAGCACACAAUUGCCUGGAUACCUGAAGGAAUGGAGACAGCGGCAGAAAACACUGCAGAGAGGUGGAAACAUCCGUUAAUAUUUUAAAAUCCCAUUACUGCUACCAACAAUAAUAAUGGAUGCAUAGAAAUAGAUCUGGAUUAGCUGAGCUUGAAACAGUCCAUCUCACACACACACAAAAGAAUUUCAGAUACAGUGAACCCACAUGUUGAAGCUUUCUAGUAUAAUAAAAAUUUCAACUGUUCUGUUGAAUCAUCUGCCUGAUUGGAGGCUACAGAAAAGAUGUCAUCUUAGGAGUGCUUGCUCUGAGUGAGGCUCAUCUUCAAAUCUGAAUGACCACAAGGAGAUUUGAUUAUACAUGUGAACACCUCAGAAGGCACAGCCCACCCAGAAGGCAGACAGGUCAGGCUGCUUUUUCUUCAUUGCUUGGAUUCAAUCCUCCGGGCGGCUCAGGCUCAAACAUAACUUAAGCAUGAUUAAACUUUAGAAGAAGCUGCCAGGAAGACUGUGAAAUCUUCAUGCCCAAGGAUCCCUAAAAUUAGGAGCAACAACCACUUGGCUCAGACGGUUUAUGGAGGCAAAGGUUUGGAUGGGAUUAGAGAUUUCUAAAUGUGAGUUCGUGUCCUCUGCCAGACCACCUUACUUCCACCAUUCCUCAGCAAAUCAAGAAAAACAGGAGAAAAGACAUGCCUUUCCAUAAGUUAAAUCUAUUCUGUUUUAAUUCUAUAUUAUAUCUGCUGUACAACUUCUUUUGUUUGUAACACCAUAUUGUUGCUAGUAACUGGAAAUUAAUUUUCACAUGCCUCAGCUUAGAAAAAUAAAAAGCAGCCCUGCAUCAA